rnacentral:tRNA from 1 species
GCCUGGGUAGCCCAAUGGCAGAGGCACUGGUUUUAGGAACCAGACAGCGUGGGUUCGACCCCCACCCCAGGUACCA